rnacentral:lncRNA from 1 species
CAACCACCACCACCUGUACCAACAACCACCAAACCCAAACACUGCUGACACCACCAGCACCAACACUCAACUCAUCACCAGUGACACAACCCCAAACGCUAUUGCCACCUUGCCAUCGACAUCGUCACCACUCAAAUCGUCGAUGUCACCCGGGUCCACAAUCCACAACCACCUCCAACGCACCACCACCACAUCCCCAUCGCCUGCACAGAUCCACAACCCACGAUUACAUAUCCACCGCACCACAACCUGAGAAAAGUAGAGGUGGCACACAAAAAGCACCAAAAUCGCACACCAUACCACAACCCAAACACCACUGCACCUACCAAUUCGAAAAAUCGCUGCCUAACUGUGGAAUGAAGCAGCCGGAGAAGUGGAAUAAAGUAGGAACCAAAGAAAACUGAAGCAGCAAUCGGAGAGUUGAAUCUUUGGGUUUGGGAAAAUAAAUAAGGGUUAGGUUGGUGGGUUAUGGUGGAGAAUCGAGUUUCUGUAACGGCGUUGGUGGCUGUGGAACCUUAAAUCUCUGUUACCUAAUACAAAU